GCUGCACUAGAGAAAUGGCAACUCGUCAGCCUCCUACUCCAGAUAGUAGAGCUGAAGAUUCUCGGUUCGAGUCCGGGGUGUGGCG